UACGAAGGGUGCAAGCGUUACUCGGAAUUACUGGGCGUAAAGCGUGCGUAGGUGGUUUUGUUAAGUCUGUUGUGAAAGCCCCGGGCUCAACCUGGGAAUGGCAAUGGAUACUGGCAGGCUAGAGUGCGGUAGAGGGUAGUGGAAUUCCCGGUGUAGCGGUGAAAUGCGCAGAUAUCGGGAGGAACACCCGUAGCGAAGGCGGCACUCUGGGCCGGAACUGACGCUGAGGAGCGAAAGCGUGGGGAGCAAACAGG
rnacentral:rRNA from 1 species